rnacentral:lncRNA from 1 species
AAGACUGCUCAAACACUACACAAAACCGGGAUCGAACACAGAAAAGACGGAAGAAGAGGACUCGGCAGGAUGUCGCAUCCUGGGCCUACGUAGUUUGUCAGAGACAAACAUCAGAGUUAACGUAGUUCGGGGAUAAGGGGAACGUGCUCGUUAGGGUAUCGCAUCCUAUGCAUACGUAUCUUCUCUAACCAGAGAAGAAUCAGAGCACUCGUAGCUCGACUAACGCACGCCAAACAAAACACAAACACAAGAAACCGACUGCCAAUCGCUGGUCUUG